rnacentral:rRNA from 1 species
GAACGCUGGCGGCAUGCCUAACACAUGCAAGUCGAACGGAUUAUUAGAGCUUGCUCUAAUGGUUAGUGGCGGACGGGUGAGUAACGCGUAGGAAUCUGCCCAGUAGCGGGGGAUAGCUCGGGGAAACUCGAAUUAAUACCGCAUACGCCCCACGGGGGAAAGGCCGGGAUCUUCGGACCGGUCGCUACUGGAUGAGCCUGCGUUGGAUUAGCUUGUUGGUGGGGUAAAGGCCUACCAAGGCGACGAUCCAUAGCUGGUCUGAGAGGAUGAUCAGCCACACUGGGACUGAGACACGGCCCAGACUCCUACGG